GGGAUCUCUAGAGAGACAUGUCUGAAUUAAAAAGAGAUGUUCAAUAUAAAGUAGUUUUGUACUUGGAAAAUGGAAAAAUAACCAUGUUGUUUUCAUAAUAUCAAUUUCAAACAGGGACAAACCAUCUUCACUACAAAAUCUUUUAUAUUAGCCUUAAGCAAAAGGUACUGGGGCAUAACUCCAGGUGGUGAUGGAGAACAUGAAUGGGCUAUCAGAAUCUCCCUGGGGAAGGCUGAGAUUUUAUGAAUGAAAAAGACUGAGAAAAAUAGUCAUGCCUGUAUCUUAGGUUCUGUGUUGAGAAUUCUAAGUAGAAAAUAACAGCAAAUUAAAUAGUUACACUACAUAGCAUUAUCUUGGAAUAUUUGUUACUAGAUCUGCCAUAUUGGUUAGCUAGGCUUUUUAAGAUUUAAUUGAAUCAUUCAUUAUAUGUUUAUACUUUUAGAACCUACUUACGGUUCGAUUUAAAAUGCUCUGACUUGUUUGAAUAUAGUUCAAUACUUCUCCUUCAGUUAUUUUUAACACAGUGCCAUACAUUCUGUGAUCACCAAGGUAUCAAUUGAAUAGAAUAAACUACUACGCAAACUACCAUUAUUCCCCUUAAUCCAUGUCUUCAUUAUUACCUUGUAUUGGAUGUGAAUCUGUGAUUAUUUGUGCAUGAAUUAACUCUUUUUUUCCUUAACCCCUGUGGUAUAGUUUUGGUGGCAUUAAUUUGGAGGAUCUCAACUUUAGUACAGGAGUUUACUUUUGUGUCUUGUUUGCUACUGUAAUGAGUAAUUUAAAAAAGUUUUUCUUACUCAUAGCAUAGAUUCCAGCCUCAAAAUCCUCUCUCAGGAGCCCAGCAAUUUGUGGCAAAGGAUCCCCAAGAUGAUGACGACUUGAAACUUUGUUCCCACACAAUGAUGCUUCCCACUCGAGGCCAGCUUGAAGGGAGAAUGAUAGUGACUGCUUAUGAGCAUGGGCUGGACAAUGUCACCGAGGAGGCUGUUUCAGCUGUUGUCUAUGCUGUGGAGAAUCACCUUAAAGAUAUACUGACGUCAGUUGUGUCAAGAAGGAAAGCUUAUCGGUUACGAGAUGGUCAUUUUAAAUAUGCCUUUGGCAGUAACGUGACCCCGCAGCCAUACCUGAAGAAUAGUGUAGUAGCUUACAACAACUUAAUAGAAAGCCCUCCAGCUUUUACUGCUCCCUGUGCUGGUCAGAAUCCAGCUUCUCACCCACCCCCUGAUGAUGCUGAGCAGCAGGCUGCACUCCUGCUGGCAUGCUCCGGAGACACUCUACCUGCAUCUUUGCCUCCGGUGAACAUGUACGAUCUCUUUGAAGCUUUGCAGGUGCACAGGGAAGUCAUCCCUACACAUACUGUCUAUGCUCUUAACAUUGAAAGGAUCAUCACGAAACUCUGGCAUCCAAAUCAUGAAGAGCUGCAGCAAGACAAAGUUCACCGCCAGCGCUUGGCAGCCAAGGAGGGGCUUUUGCUGUGCUAAAUUAGGAUUUGAGGGUGUGGGACCCUCACCAAAUUCAUUGAUUACUGAAAAUUGAAUGUUUUUUGGGUCCACAUUUCAAGGCUGAAGUGUAUAGUGUAUAUAUAACCUUUCCUAUGGAAAUGUGACAUUGAGUACAUUUUGUGUUGCUAUUGUGAAGCCAUUAAUAUAAAUCUUUGGUAAUGACCCAUAUCUCUAUGUGUUCCCAGUUGUGGGAGCAGGCACUAAUGAAAUCCUGUGCCUGGAAUGGAGAUAUUUAGGUACCUGAGGCUUAGUGUCCUGUGGUCUGCAUGUAAGAUAGAUGACAUCCUAGAACAAAGAAGCUGUUUUAACUUAAUCCCCCUGAUCAGCAGGAUAUCUGUGUGUUCAGUGACAUCAUACAUUCUGUAUCUAGAAGUCUAACAUUUCUGCCUUUCUCCUAAAGAAUGUGUUCUUGCAUUUUGGUUGAAAUAACCUACACAGUGUUAAAAAUCAGAUACCUCCUUUAGUGACCAGUUCAAAUUUUAAUAGCGAUAGGUAGCCCCUGAGAAAUUUAUCACUAUAACUCCACAGGAAAUAUGACUUGGAAGUGCUCUGUGUACUAAACAAAAUAAAGCCCCUCUUUGCAUUUAAAACCAAAGUCAAAACAAAACUCUUGUAAUGCAAUUAAUUAACUUUAUGUCUUCCCAUGACUCAAGUUUUGUUAAAUAUGCCCAAAAACUUUGAUUGGCAGUUUCUUCAGUUAAUUAUUCCUAUAGAAUGUAUUUUAAGAAAUCUAUACAAAUUGGAUAUAUGCUUGGUAAUUCCCCAGUUUCUAGGAGGUACCUAUUUCUACCGUUUCAAGUGAUGAAGUGAAAAUAAUUUACAUUCGAUAGUGUUACUGAUAACAAACCUACUUUUCUUAAGAGAUAUGUUGCUUUUUACUUAAGGGAUAGUGUUGAUAGAUAAAUUAGAAUGUAUAGAUAGGUUUGUGAAAGUCUAAAUAAUGGCUGUAUAGAUAUGUAUAUAUGGUUCACAUAUCUGGAUCUGUGUAUUUGAUUUUGUACUUUAAAUGUGACAAAUAAACCUUUUGGGAGAAAA
rnacentral:sRNA from 1 species